AUAUGGGCCCGAGACCGAUAGCGCACAAGUAGAGUGAUCGAAAGAUGAAAAGCACUUUGAAAAGAGAGUUAAACAGUACGUGAAAUUGUUGAAAGGGAAGCGCUGGUCCCCAGACGUGGGCGCGAUCGGUUCCCCCGGUCCUCGGAGCGGGCUACUCCAUCGCGUCCAGGCCCACAUCGGUUGGGGUGGUCAGUGAAAGGUCCCGGGAACGUACCGACUCUUCGGGGUCGACUUAUAGCCCGGGGCGCCAUAUGACCCACCCCGACCGAGGAACGCGCUCCGGCUCGGAUGUGGGCGUAAUGGGGAUCAGCGGCCCGUCUUGAAACACGGACCAAGGAGUCGAACCGCCGUGCGAGUGUUUGGGUGUCAAGCCCCGACGCGGAAUGAAGGUGAACGGAGGUCAGAACCCCAUCUCGGGGCGCAUGAUCGACCGAUCCGGAUGUCUUCGGAUGGAUUUGAGUAUGAGCACGGCGGGUCGGACCCGAAAGAUGGUGAACUAUGCCUGGAUAGGGUGAAGCCAGAGGAAACUCUGGUGGAGGCUCGCAGCGGUUCUGACGUGCAAAUCGAUCGUCAAAUCUGGGUAUAGGGGCGAAAGACCAAUCGAACCAUCUGGUAGCUGGUUCCUGCCGAAGUUUCCCUCAGGAUAGCAGUAACGGUGUCAGUUUUAUGAGGUAAAGCGAAUGAUUAGCGGCCUGGGGGUGGCAACCACCUUCACCGAU
rnacentral:rRNA from 1 species